rnacentral:rRNA from 1 species
AACGAACGCUGGCGGCAGGCCUAACACAUGCAAGUCGAACGCGCGUAGCAAUACGCGAGUGGCGCACGGGUGAGUAACACGUGGGAAUCAACCCUGAGGUUCGGAAUAACCGCGGGAAACUGCGGCUAAUACCGGAUGUCCCCUAUGGGGGAAAGAUUUAUCGCCUUGGGACGAGCCCGCGUCCGAUUAGCUAGUUGGUGAGGUAAUGGCUCACCAAGGCUACGAUCGGUAGCUGGUCNGAGAGGAUGACCAGCCACACUGGAACUGAGAUACGGUCCAGACUCCUACGGGGAGGCAGCAGGUGGGGAAUA